CACUCUGUAUCAUAUGUUCUACCAUCAGAGGCACAAAUGGAUCCAGGAAAUGACUGAUAAGGACAUUCCUCACGGCAAGUACAUGAUCCUUUCACACAAUGAGCUCCAUUCUUGCAAGUUUCAUCUCCACACCGCUCAAGAAUUCUUGGAGGAUCUUAACUUAUCACACUAAUUGAAUGAAAAGACUAUAAUAAUUGACUCAAAUAUGUCUAUGAAAUAUUGGACUGUAUGUAUUGUAUAUAUGAAGUAAAAAAAUUAAUUGGGAUUGUAUACUUUUCCUGAUUUUUGUUCAAGUUGCAACUUGUACAAAAAUAUUAUAGAAGAUUGAUUUUUCUUGGUCUUGGAGUUCUUUAUUUAAAUAUAACCCAACCAUUUUAA
rnacentral:lncRNA from 1 species